UACAGAGGUCUCAAGCGUUGUUCGGAUUCAUUGGGCGUAAAGGGUGUGUAGGUGGCGCCGUAAGUCGGGUGUGAAAUUUCGGAGCUUAACUCCGAAACUGCAUUCGAUACUGCGGUGCUUGAGGACUGGAGAGGAGACUGGAAUUCAUGGUGUAGCAGUGAAAUGCGUAGAGAUCAUGAGGAAGACCAGUGGCGAAGGCGACUCUUUGGCCUGUAACUGACGCUUGAGGCGCGAAAGCGUGGGGAGCAAACAGG
rnacentral:rRNA from 1 species